rnacentral:piRNA from 1 species
UGCAAGGUUACUUUUCAGGUGUGUCGGU